ensembl:lncRNA
GUAAAUUUAUAUUUUAAUGCAAAUUUACGUAAAUUAAGAUAGCCCUGAUGCUAAAUGGGCUCCUGCUGCAGGAUGCUUUAUGUACUUCAGUGCAGAAAUGGAGGUUUGGAAUUGAGGCUGUGUAACUGGGUUGGUCAUAUUUCUGAAGGUAAAGGAGCUUCCAACAGAUGACCAGACACAGUAUCAGUUCUCAGAAUUUCCAUUCACAAUGAAACCCACUUCCAGGAGGUCGACUUUGCCCCUGAGUUUGGAUUUCAGCUUUAGCAUUAUUGUGAGCAAGGGCUUCCCAGGUGGCUCAGCAGUAAAAAAUCUGCCUGCAUUGCAGGAGAUGUGGGUUCUAUCCCUGGGUUGAGAAUAUCCCCUGGAGGAGGAAAUGGCAACCCAUCCCAGUAUUCUUGCCUGGGAAAUCCCAUGGACAUAGGAGCCUGGUGGGCUAUAGUCCAGGAGGUGACGAAGAGUCAGACAUGACUGAGGGGCUAAACAACAGCAUCAGCAGUUGUGAGCAAACUUGGGUCCAUUACUUGACCUUUGUUUUCCUUAGCUUUAUCAUCUGUAGAGAGAGAUUAAAAUGAAUGAUCCCCAAAGUCUCUUCACCUGCUAACCUAAGAAACAUAAGGAAUUAAGGGACUAUAUAACAUAAACAUCUAGACUGUACAUAUAUAGAAAGUUAGAGAAGGUAACUGUAUCAUUUACUGCCUUAUUAAGACAUAUUCAUUCACUAGUAGUUUACUAACAAACUAAUUUUUUAGUAUAUAUUAGAUCUGAAAGAAACAUAAGAUGGGCUCUUUGCUUCAAGGAUGACCUCUAUCUACUUCCCCAUCUGAGGGUCAUGAAAGAAAUUCUAGUUUAGUCUUUGUUGUGGCCAAAUUAUUUGCUUUAAAUUCUGGCUCAGCAGCCAACAUACAAAAAGAAAUUAUUGAAUAGCCAGUCAUCUUGGUGAUGUUAGAAAAGUUGUUAAUUCAUGUUAGAAUUACCUUUCAGUUUUUGUUGUUCAACUUAAUUUCCUUGGAAGAAUGGCCAUGAAUUUGUUUUUGUGUAGAAUUGUUUUUUAUAAUAGAUACGACUAAAAAACUGAAUGGAAUUCCAAGCUAAAUGAUCAAAACAUUUAUUGAAGUUUUAAAAGCAGAUUGGGUUUUCAGUGGUCUGAAAGGUUGUGAAAUGAUUCUCAUAGAGGCUAUUAAUACCAAUCAAAUAAUCAUACUAACAUGAUAAUAAGUGAUAACAAUAAUAAUACAGAACCAGGCUCCUCAAUGACAGGCAUACCACAAUCCUAAAUCAGUUCAAAGAUAUAACCGUCUAAAAAUGAAUAGGACUAGGAAGAAAAACCAUCUUAUUUUUGGACCACAAGCACAGAACCUCAGAAACUCCAUUGUCUCUCUCUGAGAAGAUAUAUCCCUGAGUGAGUCUCUUAAAUGAUUAAAAAUCAAAAUUGAAAUAACAUGACACCAACCUCUUUGUUUGUCCUUCUUCUCUCACUUUCGUUGACUGUUUAUACACACACACACCAUAAAGCAAGGUACAGAUAAAGCAGAGAGUGGUUCAUUGCUGCCCGUUAACAGAUGACGGAGGCCUGCAGCAGAACGCCCAGUGGAGGAAAUCUAAGCUCACUAACUAAAUAUUCAAUGUGCUCCCAAAUCCUGAUUAUCAGGAAAAGAGCUAGAAUAGCAAACGUACAAGCAGGCUCAAUUAACCCUAAUUAGUUCAGAGUCAGGCUACAAAAGACUUAAUUAGCAGUUAUUAGGUGCCGCUCAGAAGAGGAGCAUAAAUAAUGGUUGGUAGCAAGCUGUGUUUAAGAGUCUCCUGGCUGAGUGACACCAAAAAGAAAAAAAAAAAAGUAAAAGCAUGUUCCUCCAUUGAAAAUUAAUUGUAAAAUGAUAAUAUGGGUCUUGACUUAAAUUUCAUUUAUUCAGAGUGGAUUGUUGAUGCAGUGAUUUUUUUCUGGACAACUCAGAUACUUCAGGAGAGGAGUUUGAAAGUUGAAUUCUAAUGGUGUGAUGGUUAUUCUCUACCACACAGAGAUGAGCAUCUGCUUUGGGGAUGGUGAGUGACUAAUAGGUUCAGAGGAAUAGAUAAGUCUUUGGAGGGUCUUACAUUAAGGAGGUCCAGCAAGGAAUGGUUGAUGUGCAGAAAGGACUGAGUUAUAAGCGGCAUAAAGAUGAGCUGGAGACUGGGGCCGCUCUGAUUGGUCCAAGCCUGAGUUUGAGCUGUACAUCAAAUGGGUCCAUCAAAUGGGUUUCUCUUUUCCUGUGCCAUCUAUGCACCAAUAUGUAGCUCACAGGAGCUGGAAGUUACAGACCCGCUUGACUUCAGAGUAAAAUAAUUUUCAUCAAAAAGACAUAAUGUCCAGAUUAAGAUAAGAAGCAGAGACAAGGGAAUAUGAUAUACCUUCUCCAGCAGUUUUGCUCACUCUUGUUCUUUCUCUCUCUGACACUUUUAUGGAUUAAGUAUGACCCUCAGAGAGGUAGAAAAUUUUAGUGUUCCUCUUAAGUUUUAUAGUAUCCCACACAAAAUAUGGGCUUGGCAUGAAUGGAGUCAGGAAUUAGUUUUAGAACACUCAGUUGUCUUAUGUUUUAUUGCAUAUUUGAUUAUCUGUAUUUAGGUCAGUUCAGUUCAGUUGCUCAGUUGUGUCUGACUCUUUGCAACACCAUGGACUGCAGCAUGCCAGGCUUCCCUAUCCCUCACCAACUCCCAGAGCUUGCUCAAACUCAUGUCCCUUGAGCCAGUGAUGCCAUCCAACCAUCUCAUCCUCUGUCAUCUCCUUCUCCUCCUGCCUUCAAUCUUUCCCAGCAUCAGGGUCUUUUCAAAUGAGUCAGUUCUUCACAUCAGGUGGCCAAAGUAUUGGAGCUUCAACUUCAGCAUCAGUCCUUCCAAUGGAUAUUCAGGAUUGAUUUCCUUUAGGUUGGACUGGUUGGAUCUCCUUGCAGUCCAAGAGACUCUCAAGAAUCUUCUCUAACACCACAGUUUAAAAGCAUCAAUUCUUUGGUGUUCAGCUUUCUUUAUGGUCCAACUCCAUCCAUACGUGACUACUAGAAAAGACCAUAGCUUUGACUAGAUGGACCUUUGUUAGCAAAGUAAUGUCUCUGGUUUUUAAUAUGCUGUCUGGGUUGAUCAUAGCUAAUUUUCUAAUUUCAUUUUCUAAUUUCAUGGCUGCAGUUACCAUCUGCAGUGAGUUUGGAGCCCAAGAAAAUAAAGUCUUUCACUGUUUCCAUUGUUUCACCAUCUGUUUGCCAUGAAGUGAUGGGACCAGAUGCCAUGAUCUUAGUUUUCUGAAUGUUGAGCUUUAAGCCAAAUUUUUCACUCUCCUCCUUCACUUUCAACAAGAGGCUCUUUAGUUCUUCUUUGCUUUCUGCCAUAAGGGUGGUGUCAUCUGCGUAUCUGAAGUUACUGAUAUUUCUCCCGGCAAUAUUGAUUCUAGCUUGUGCUUCCUCCAGCCCAGCAUUUCUCAUGAUGUACUCGGCAUAUAAGUUAAAUAAGCAGGGUGACAAUGUAUAGCCUUGACGUACUCCUUUCCCAAUUUGGAACCAGUUGUUGUUCCAUGUCCGGCUCUAACUGUUGCUUCUUGACCUGCAUUUCUAAGGAGGCCGGUCAGGUUGUCUGGUAUUCUCAUCUUUUAAAGAAUUUUCCACAGUUUGUUGUGAUCUACACCAUCAAAGACUUUGGCGUAAUCAAUAAAACAGAAGUAGAUGUUUUUCCAGAAUUCUCUUGCUUUUUCUGUGAUCCAGUGGAUGUAGGCAAUUUGAUCUCUGGUUCCUCUGCCUUUUCUAAAUCCAGCUUGAACAUCUGGAAGUUCACAGCUCACGUUCUGUUGAAGCCUUGCCUGGAUAAUUUUGAGCAUUACUUUGCUAGUUAAAUCUGUAUUUAACAUAAGUAUAAAUGUUAUCACUCAUAAAACUCUUGAAGCCUGGUCAUAUAUGAUUUCAUAGACCAGUACUGUUUGUAGGUGGAUAUAAAUACAGCAAACCUGUCUUUUAAGAGGCUACUUUAACCAACCAACCAAUCAUGUAAUAACUAACUUCCUCUGGAAAAGUAAUGCCAAAUGACCACUUGGGCAGAAUAGAGGUGUAUUUGUUUUCUAUUGCUGUGCAACAAACUAGCACAAAGUUAGCAUCUUAAAGCAAUAUCCAUUUAUUGGCUCAUAGUAGUAAUGGUCAGAGGAGGACUUGACUAGACUGUCAGAAGGUCAAAAUCAAGAUCAGUCUGAGCUUUGGUCUGGAGACUGUGGGAAGGAAUCCUUUUCUGAGACCGUCCAGGUUGUUUUCAUAAUCCAAUUGGCUUGUGGUUGUAGGUCUGGGAUCCUAAUUCCUUUCCUGGUUGUUAGGUGAAGGCUUCUCUCUGUUCGCAGAACCCCCCGCACCACAGCCCCUACAUUCAUUCCUACAAGUCCUGCUUUAUCUUCGAUGCAGCAAUGAUACACCAAGUCCUUCUCCCACUUUGAAUAUCUGAAUUCUCCUUCUGCUCCCAACUGGAGGAAACUCAUUGCUUUUACAAGUCCAAUGUGAUUAGUGUUGGACACACUCAAAUAACCCCUCUUUAGAGUAUGUUUGCUCAGUAACCUUGAUUAUCUCUCAGAAUCCCUCUUGUCAUGUAGCAUAACAUAAUCCCAGGUACCAUAUGGCACAUGUUUAUAGUUUUAGAGAUUAGAGCUCAACCUUCCCUCCAUCUACAACCUAGGACCCUCCUGGGGAUAGAGGGUGGCAGUGGUCACUGGGCAGGAACAGGAGAGGGAGGUUACCAGGGUGACCAACAGCCUGAGGUGGGAGAGUGGGUGGCUGGGGUGUCUAAGUCCAUAUCCUGGAGACCCAGGGGGCAAUGGAGGAAACAUUAAACAUGGGCUGGGACUCCAAGCCUCCGGCACAUUCUCUACUGUCCACUGGACCUUACAGAAAAGAGAUUGAAAGAUAAGAUUAGGAAGAAUUUAAGAUGGCAACUGGAAAAUAAUCAACCCCAUUUGGGGUUUCCUAUCUUGAGUGUGAGAGCCUGUGAGACUGAUCACAUACUCAUGAAGCUAGCUCUGAAAACAGACACUAUGUAAAUAUUUGCUAUUAUUAUUAUUGGUUUUUACUGAUAGUGAUUUUGUGGACAUUAGACACUUGGUAAGUCAUGUAUGGAUGUGAGAGUUGGACUGUGAAGGCUGAGCACCAAAGAAUUGAUGCUUUUUAACUGCGGUGUUGGAGAAGACUCUUGAGGGUCCCUUGGACUGCAAGGAGAUCCAACCAGUCCAUUCUGAAGGAGAUCGGCCCUGGGAUUUCUUUGGAAGGAAUGAUGCUACAACUGAAACUCCAGUACAUUGGCCACCUCAUGCGAAGAGUUGACUCAUUGGAAAAGACUCUGAUGCUGGGAGGGAUUGGGGGCAGGAGGAGAAGGGGACGACAGAGGAUGAGAUGGCUGGAUGGCAUCACUGACUCGAUGGACGUGAGUCUGAGUGAACUCCGGGAGAUGGUGAUGAACAGAGAGGCCUGGCGUGCUGCGAUUCAUGGGGUCGCAAAGAGUCGGACACGAAUGAGUGACUGAACUGAACUGAACUGAAGACAAAAUACUCAGUUGCUUCAAAAUACUUGUCUUAAUUUUUACAAAUGGAUUUAAGUCAGUACUGAUACAGAGGCAUCUUGUGCUCAGUGAGGCUGCUCCAAAGGACUGUCUUUAAGGACUUCACCUCUUGUUGUUGUUUAGUUGCUAAGUCGUGUCUGACUCUUUGCGACCCCAUGGACUGAAGCCUGCCCGGCUCCUCUGUUCAUGGUCUCUAAACCAUUGACUGAAAGUAAUUCUUCUCAUGGCAGGGAUGAUAGUGACAUUUCACAGGGAAUAUGCACAACUCCUUUCUUUUCUUUCUUUCUUUUCUUUUUUCAGCUUUAUUUUCUCUUGUUCUGGGUAUUGUAACUCCCAAGCUAGAAAUCUGACUUGUUUUAUAGUCACUGAAAUUAAUUAAAAAUAAAUAAGCUUGAACAUUCACUUUAAGUAUUUCCUUGUUUCUUUUUUUUAAGCUUAUCAUACAAUUCAAGUCAAAGUCCAUUCUACAGAAUAAGUUAUGAAAAUUUCAAAGUUUUGCCUUUUUUUCUUCUUUUGCUAUCAGAACUACAAUAGAUAGUAAAAGCUUAAUCCCAAGGAAACUAAUAAAAUGAACUGUUCAUGCAAUUACAUAUUAUUUUUCUGUUAUGUACAAUUCUCUUAAGGGCCUGAUGCUCCAUGAUUGACUGAUCUAUGAAGCCAGAGUCAUGUCUGGUUUUGAGCUUUAAGUAUUCAACCACCUCUAAAUUUUUGACAAGGUUGUUUAAAGACUGAUGUGAUUGAAUCAUAAGACCACUCAAAAUCUACAACAUAUGCUUUGUUCUGCGUGGGGAAAAAAAAUCCCAUCAUCCAUAAAAAGAGGAAGGGAAAAUAUAACGAAUUCUUUAAGAGUGGUGAGCCGAGCCAAAAAUGAUACAUACUGGAGAGAGAUGAAUCUGGGCUCUUGACUAGUAUAAAAAGGAGAAUCAAAGUGCAGCAGUGACAGCAGACAGUGGGUCUAAUUAUCUCCAGAGGGGGGCAUUAGGAUUUUCGGACUCCAGCUGUCAAGCAGCUGUAAACUUCUCCAGGCUAGCAUUUGAAUUUUCAGAGUAAAACAUCAGACCUCAGUUGCAUCAAGAGACUUACAGGGUCAAUGCAGAGCCAAGCCAAUCCUAACUCUUCAGAUGCUGGGGGACUUGCUUAAACAAAUCUGCUCACCUUUCCAGAUGCAUGGCUCUGCCAUAAAACUUGAAAUACUUGUAGUGAUACCUUUGAGACUUCCAGACAGUAAGUGGGUUCUGAUCCUAAUAUUUGUGAGAUAGUUGAGCAACAAAUUUUAAUUUAAUUAUAGUAAUGUUUAUAGAGCACUUUAUAUGGGGAAGGCCUUAUGCCAUGGAGACAGUAUUGUUUGUGGUCAACGGCUGGACUUUUUCAUUUGUGUAACCUGAAAUACGUAGGCUAAUCUCUCGAAGUAAGGAGGUUCUCAUGUGUAUCCUGGCAAGAAUAAUUAUAUAGACCUUGGUUGUCUCUUUUUCUGCUUCCCUGGAAGCAGACCCCCAAAUGUGGACUGAGAAAAAGUAGUUGACUUGCAAGGUGAUCCCAGACACACUGGUUAGGGAAUAAGGUAGGGAAAGGAAAGAGAAAGUAAGCAAUGAAAAACAGACUAGAAAGUAAGUCAUCACUGUGAUGCCUGGAGCAGCAGCUGAUUCUCAAAGCAUGGUUCAAGGUUGGCUAGAAUCACUCGAACCCUGGUUAGAAAUGUGCAUUCUCAGGUCCCACUCCAGACCUACUGAAUUAGAAACCAUGCAGCCUGGUCGAAUAAACCCUGCAGGGAAUUUUGUGGCCUCCCUCAAGUCUAAAAAGUGAUGAACUAGGGAGCAUGGGCCAAACACUUGGCUCAGAGUGAUGCCAUGGCUGGUGGAAGGCAGCUGGGCUAUUGAUACACCAACACCCUAAGUCAUGAUGGAGGGUCAGAGAGAGGGUGUUGGAAAUAAACCAUAAUUCCCCAGCACUUUCUCCCAUGGUGCCCUUGGGAAGAAUGGACUCCAGAGUAAGCUCUUGGCAAAGAGAUGCUGGCCCUGGCAGCUAAAAGUCCCAGGAACCUUACAAUUCCUAGACCCAAAGACGCAUGGGCAGGGCACCAACAGCUACUGCGGUGUCUGAAGGAUCGAGAUAAUAUGCUAAAGGGCGUACUGCAGGGUCUAUCACAUAAUCCAUUAUACAUGCAAACCUAAGGAUGGUGCACAGAUUAACAAGUUGUAAUCCUUGCCCUCAGAGAGCAGAGCAUUUCUGAAGAGAGCUAGGAUGUAAACUCAUAAGAAGAAUCUAAGGCAGAUGCAAUAGAUGCCACAGGUGAUGGAAUUGUAGGAGGGAGAGAGAAAAUCUGAUUUGGAGAAGAAAGGUGUUCAUGAAUCAGUGGCAUCUGAGAUGCAAGGGGCAGGCUCCUGGACUUGCUGAGAUGAAACAAGAGGGGUGAUCGAACUGUGGAGAAGGACUCAGGUCACUGUAUCAACUGCCAAUGGGAGGCAAGUGCCUCUUGUAUCUGGAUGUCUGAGCUGCACAUAUUCAUUUACCAGAUGGAAGUAAUUUCUGUAGGCUAACAAUUUGAAAUGUAAGGGUGCUAAGGUUAUUAUUUCUUUACCAUUCACAUCUCCAACUAAUGAUUUUCUGGGAAAGAAUUAAGGCUAACUGGUUUGAAAAAAAGCAUAAACAGAUAUUUCAAGCAACUGCACAGAUGUGUGGCUUCACUGGGACUCGUAUGGAAAUGAGAAAGUGCUGACUUAAUUUUUUCAGUAGCAUUGUUACUACUAUAAAGUGAAAGUGAAGUCGCUCAGUCGUGUCCGACUCUUUGCGACCCCAUGGACACUAGGCUCCUCUGUCGGUGGGAUUUUCUAGGCAAGAGUACUGGAGUGGGUUGCCUUUUCCUUCUCCAGGGAACUUCCCAACCCAGGGAUCGAACCCAGGUCUCCUGCACUGUAGACAGACGCUUUACAGUCUGAGCCACCAGGGAAGUCAUAACAUAACUUUAAUAGUCUUAGGCAGAACUGUCAAAAUUUACUGUGAGAAUUUUGUACAUAUACAUUAAAACAUCAGUUCUGAAGAGGAGGGUGGAGUGGAGAGAGGAAAUAAAUUGAGUAGAAUGAAUAUAGAAUUCCAUAUUUUUGAGAAUUUUUAAACUGGGAUCCCAUUUCUCACAGCAAAAUACAUCCGUUUCUCUGCUACACUCCUUCCUUGGUGUCUACUUCUUCUAAAGCCACUGCUGUAGACUGAAUGUUUGUGCCCCCUCAACCCCCGUUCAUAUGUUGAAGCUCUAGCCUUCAGUGUGAAGGUAUUUGGAACCGUAGGAAGUAGUUGGGUCAUGAGGGUGGAGCCCUCAUAAAUGGGAUUAGUGCCCUUGUAGGAGGAGACAUGAGAGAGACUCCUGUGUCUCUCUGUGUAUCUCUGUGUCACCUGGCAGCAAAUCAGGAAGAGGAUGCUCACCAGGCACCAAAUCUACUGGCACCUUAGUCUUGGACCUCACAGCAUCCAAGACUGUGAGAAGUAAAUGUCUCUGUUUAAGCCACCCAGUCUGUAGUGUUUUGCUAUAGCAGCUCAAGCAGACUAAGGCAGCUUUCAAUCCCCGAGGUGUCAGUUCCUGAUCAAAUGCGCUACAUUUCAUCGCAUCCCUGGUGCCUUCCUCUCUUUCCCAUCAACAGGCUCAGUGGAGAAUGGUCUACAAUUAUCCAGAUAUUUGGAGUGUCCUUCCUUAUAAUAAAGGGGACUUUUGUCCUUACUUUCUUUUUUCCUGAGUUCUUGAGGAUAUUUGUGAAAAUAAGCCUAGAGGGGAGGAGAGAGGGAUUAGUAAUGAGGUGCUUAUGUGAAGGGGAGUAGAAGAAGCUUAAAGUAUUUAAAGAGUGAAGAAGAAGACUUCCCUUCCAGCUGGGCUCUCCUCUUUUUCUCAUUAUAUUUUCUAGGUCUACUUGGAAAGCAAUGUAUGAGUGUGUGUGUGUGUGUGAGAGUGAGUCACUCACAGUAUGAAAUCUGUUAGUAGAACUUGCUGAGAUAGUUGAAGACUCCCUGAGAAGUUUCCUGUUUCAGAGUUUUAUGUGUUAAAGUGUUGAUAUUUAGUGGUGGUGAAUCUCCUGGUGUGGUUAAGUGAUAUCUGUGGUAUGGAGAGCAAAAAUCUGUGCUGUGUCCCUUUUUAGCUGAUGGGCUUGCAGCACCAUGUGAACCAAAGUCUCCAAAUAAUGGACAGAUAAACAUUCUUAUUCAGAUAAACAAGAUAAACGUUUUUGUAUAGACUGAGAAGCAAAGUUCUGGAAAUAAUUUAGAAGGCGUCACAAAACAUCUUCUCCAUUAGUUUAAAGUUAAACAUUAUGGUAAGACUUUAAGCAUGUAAAUAAAUGUCAAGUGCUUGACUCACUGGUCACCUCUUAUGCUGAUUCAAUACUUUAUGAAGGUUUAUACUUAUACGUGACUUUGUUCAUUGUUUCCCCAGCAUUUUCCUUUAAGGGAAGACUUCACCACAGAUAAAACGCUGGGGUGUUGAGUUGCUGUUGUUGUUUGUCGCUCAGUCAUGUCUGACUUUUUGUGACCCCAUGAACUGUAGCCAGCCAGGCUCCUCUGUCCAUGGACUUCUCCAGGCCAGAAUGCUGGAGUGGGUUCAGUUCAGUUCAGUCACACAGUCAUAUCCGACUCUUUACAACCCCAUGGACUGCAGCACACCAAGCUUCCCCAUCCAUCACCAACUCCUGGAGCUUGCUGAAACUCAUGUCCAUCGAGUCGGUGAUGCCAUCCAACCAUCUCAUCCUCUGUCAUCCCCUUCUCCUCCCACCUUCAAUCUUUCCCAGCAUCAGGGUCUUUUCAAAUGAGUCAGUUCUUCACAUCAGGUGGCCAAAGUAUUGAAUUUUCAGCUUCAGCAUCAGUUCUGUUCAGUUGCUCAGUCAUGUACGACUCUUUGUGACCCCAUGAAUUGCAGGCCUCCCUGUCCAUCACCAACUCCUGGAGUUUACUCAAAUUCAUGUCCAUCUAGUCGGUGGUACCAUCCAGCCAUCUCAUCCUCUGUCGUCCCCUUCUCCUCCUGCCCCCAAUCCCUCCCACCAUCAGGGUCUUUUCAAAUGAGUCAACUCUUCACCUGAGGUGGCCAAAGUAUUGGAGCUUCAGCUUCAGCAUCAGUCCUUCCAAUGAAUAUUCAGGACUGAUUUCCUUAAGGAUGGACUGGUUGGGUCUCCUUGCAGUCCACGGGACUCUCAAGAGUCUUCUCCAACACCAGAGGUCAAAAGCAUCAAUUCUUUGGCACUCAUCUUUCUUUAUAGUCCAACUCUCCCAUCCAUCCAUGACUACUGGAAAAACCAUAGCUUUGACUAGAUGAACUUUUGUUGGCAAAGUAAUGUCUCUGCUUUUUAAUAUGCUAACUAGGUUGGUCAUAACUUUUCUUCCAAGGAGUAAGUAUCUUUUAUUUCAUGGCUGCAAUCACCAUCUGCAGUGAUUUUGGAGCCCCCCAAAAUAAAGUCUGACACUGUUUCCACUGUUUCUCCAUCUAUUUGCCAUGAAGUGAUUGGGACUGGGUGCCAUGAUCUUUGUUUUCUGAAUGUUGAGCUUUAAGCCAACUUUUUCACUCUCGUCUUUCACUUUCAUCAAGAGGCUCUUUAGUUCUUCUACACUUUCUGACAUAAGGGUGGUAUCAUCUGCAUAUCUGAGGUUAUUGAUAUUUCUCUGAGCAAUCUUGCUUUCAGCUUGUGCUUAAUUCAGCCUAGUGUUUUUCAUGAUGUACUCUGCCUAUAAGUUAAAUAAGCAUGGUGACAAUAUACAGUCUUGACAUACUCCUUUUCCUAUAUGGAAUCAGUCUGUUGUUCAAUAUAUACUAUGUGAUAAAUUGUAAGUCAUAUAUAUAAAGAUAUGCGUUUAGUCAACUAUGUAUUGGAGAAGGAUAGAGGUGGAGAAGAAAAAAAAUUAAUUGUAAAAUAAAAAUU